UGUUUAUUUGUGGCACCAGUCUGGAUCUACUGUGGUUCUGUUGGGUCUCAGCUUGUUGUUCAGAUUUUCUUCAUCAACUCUUUGGAUCAUUUGAACAAACUGUGAAGCUAGAAAGUGUGUGUGAGCUGAUGUGGAUUCAGCAGCAUGGAUCAGUGUGAGGACAGAGAGGAGGGAGUCCCUCCCUCUAAAACCACUCUGUGUGGGGAAGAUGAGAGCCAGAGCAAAGGUCAGAGGAUCCAUCAGAGACACAAACCAGAACCAGAACCAGAGCCAGAACCAGAACCAGAACCAGAACCAGAACCAGAACCAGAACCAGAACCCAGCUGUGUGUCUUUUAAGAGUGACAGGUCAAUGGGUCGUCCCAUUUACUUUAAAUGUCCUG